rnacentral:lncRNA from 1 species
CGGCCAAUGAAUUUUUUUUUUGAAGGAAGCGCACAAUGAAAUUUUAGACAAGGAAAGACCUUUUCCAAUUUUUCACCUAUAAAUACAUAAUCCAAAUAAAAAAACAACCAUUUAUUUUGUUCCAAACUGAAACCCCUCAUUCCAGAUCUCUCCUUCCAAAUCAGCAAUGGCCAAAUCUAAACAUCACUCAUUCUUCACCGUUUGAAACCGAACCAAAUCCCUCCGCACGUCACUGUUCCCAAAUCGCAACACUGUUCAUCGGUUAAAAAAUCUGAACCAAAUCGCAACACUGUUCAUCAGGUUCAAAGGGUUGAAGCUUCUGUAACUGUAAGUCAAAUCCCAAAAUUUAAGUUUUCUUUUGUUUUUACUUUCUGUGGCAUGAUUGUGUUACCAUGUUUACACUUUUUUCACUUGUUAUCAUUUUUUAGGGUUUAGGGUUUAUACUUUUUCACUUGUUUCACUUUUUGGAUUGAUGUAUUUGCUCUUAUAUAGUGGCAUAAGUUUUGUGAGAAUGUUGUUUGGCAAGAACUUAUGACAUGUUCAUAAACUAUUUUCAACUUAUUUUCAUAAGUCAUCAAAGAUAGGUUAUGAAAAUAGCUAAUAGUUUAUGCAAAAACAACAUAACUUGAUAUUUACAAGAACUAAUUGUUUUGUGAGACUGUUUUUUGACAAGAACUUGUGAAAACAGCUUAUGACAUGUUCAUAAGGUGCUUUCAACUUAUUUUUAUAAUCAUCGAAGAUACUGACUUAACUUAAUUUUCCCAUAUACCCUUUGAGAAGGAUACCAAAGCUACCAAAGCCACCAAAGUCCAUUGUCAAACCCUGAAUAAUUUUGGUGAUAAUAUAUAGUUUGAAUGUUAACAAUGUGAUGUGAACAAUAAGGAAAAGUUAGAGAAGUGAAGGGUUAAUAAGAGAUUGGUUGUGAUAGAGGGUGAAGAGAUUUAAGAGAGAAGCAAGUGAGGAAAAGUGAUUUAUAUAAAAGAAAGAAAGGAUGUGGUAAAAUAGAAAGUUGAAACAAAUAAUGAUAAAUGGUGUCUUUUUGAGCUUGUAACCUUUUGAUUUCGGCUGACAGUGCUGUUUUUUCUGGUUUUUCUGCUGCAUUUCAACUCUUCUACUUCGUUUUUCUGUUGGUCUGUGUUGGGACGGACAACGAUGGCUUUCUGCAGGGUGCUGGUUGGUUUUGGUUUUUUUUUUUUUUUUUUUACAGCGGCAUGGCUGAGUAGUAGGGCUAGGUGUGUCUAAGUUUAGGAGGUAAGGCAGGGGUAUCCCUUUAGGAGGUGAGGCAGGAGAUCUCCUUUGAAAAUAUAAGCUUCAUGCUCAAUGUGAGAAGUAAAAGCAGCAUCAAUUCCACUCUCAAAGACUGUACCAAACAAACAACUAAGAUGAUUUAGAGCAAAUUUACUUGUUUCACAAAAAUCCUUUCUAUCAUGGUUUAAAAGGGCAGUCUCAUCUCCUUUGAAUAUGUGAACAUACUUCUCGAGGAAAUUAAUUGCAGCGUCUACUCCAUUUUCAAACACGGUUCCCUCGAGUCAAGGAAACAUGGCAGCGAUUGGAAUAGGACCUGAUAGUAAUCUGGAGUCUGUUGAAUUUGGAGCGUAUUUUAUUUUGGCACAUUGAUUCCCAGAGAAGAUGAAUGCCUUGUUGUGUUUGAUGUCCAAGGCACAAUCGAUUCCAUUUUCAAAUAUCGUGUUAUCUAACAUUGGAAACCCGUCAAUAAUACGAUUCGGUCCAUUAGUAAUAUCUUUCUUCUCCUCUCCGGGAGCAUAAUUCAAAACUACAUACUUUUUUUUCAUGAACAUGUAACUUUCAUUAAGAGGAAAUGAACGUAAUGGAGGACCUAUGAUAUAAUUUGGCAUUCUUAUUGGAUGAUAUUUUUUUUUAUUUUUUUAUUUCAAGGUAUGGAAUAUGAAUGUCUUUCUUUCACUUUGUGAAGAAGUCUAUUUAUAUAGAUCAUACCGGUAAUGUGAACAAAAAUAUUAAAUUUUAAAUGGCUAAAAUAUGGUUUUAGUCCCUGCAAAUAUGCUUCGUUUUGGUUUUAGUCCUUGUAAAAAAAAAAAUUUGUUUUUGGUCCUUGCAAAAAAUUUUUGUUUUUGAAAAUAGUCUCUGACCCCAUUUUUGUGAUGAUUUGCAUACGUGGCACAAGAUGAACCACAUAUGAUUUAUUCCGAUUUUGCUAUUUCUCAUAACAGGGUGAACAAGGACAAAUUUUCAUGUUUAAGGGUGUGUUUGGUAGAAGAGAGAUAGACGAGAGAGAGAAAUAGACAAGAGAAAUAAGGAAGAGAGAACACAUUUCCACAGUUUGGAACAGCAGAGAAAAAGGAGAGAGAGACCAAAUAUAUGUGGGCCCCAUGGCUACUCCUCUUCUCCUCUAGACAGCGAAGAAAUGCAGAAGAAACCUCCACUCUUUUGCUUUUCCACUUUUACCCUUCUUUCUUUGUAGUGGCCACCUUGAAUUGAUAUUGCAAGGGGAAAGUGAUUGAGCAGCUGGAUUACUGGUAGUGUUUUUUGUUGUUGUUAAAUAGGUAAUUUUUUUUUACUUUUUAUGCGUGGUUAUAGUUUUAAGUAGUGUUAUCAUCAUCAAAUUAAUUAUAGUAAUAAUUAUGGAGCAAAAUGGGUACCACGUGUUGGUUUAAGUAGAUAGAUAGGUCUACCAACAAUGGAAAUAAAUUUAUGAGUUGAUUUAGUUGACUAAAUUAUUAUUCUUUUUACCAUAACUAAAU